GGCGGAUGUAGCCAAGUGGAUCAAGGCAGUGGAUUUG
rnacentral:tRNA from 28 species